UACGGAGACUGCAAGCGUUACUCGGAUUUACUGGGCGUAAAGGGUCCGCAGGUGGCCAGGUAUGUCAGGUGUGAAAUCCUACGGCUCAACCGUAGAAUAGCGCCUGAAACUACUUGGCUUGAGACUCGGAGAGGUGAGUGGAAUUCCUGGUGUAGCGGUGAAAUGCGUAGAUAUCAGGAGGAACACCAACGGCGAAGGCAGCUCACUGGACGAGAUCUGACACUCAUGGACGAAAGUGUGGGUAGCGAAAGGG
rnacentral:rRNA from 1 species